GGGCUGGCUUUAGCCCAACACUCCUUCGAGUCUGGUUUCCCAACCGCCUGGACUGGGCUAAUUAGUCCGGUGGUUCGAGACCCACGGGUGCUCUCCAGUUCUUUU
ensembl:misc_RNA Vault Vault RNA